UCAUUCCCAUACUGUUUUUAUACUGUUUUUAUUUAUUUACUUUUCUGCUCUUUUGCACACCAAUAUCUCUACCUGUACAUGCCCAUCUGAUCAUUUAUCACUCCAGUGUUAAUCUGCAAAAUUGUAUUAUUCGCCUACCUCCUCAUGCCUUUUGCACACAUUGUAUAUAGACUGCCCAUUUUUUUCUACUGUGUUAUUGACUUGCUAAUUGUUUACUCCAUGUGUAACUCUGUGUUGUCUGUUCACACUGCUAUGCUUUAUCUUGGCCAGGUCGCAGUUGCAAAUGAGAACUUGUUCUCAACUAGCCUACCUGGUUAAAUAAAGGUGAAAUAAAAAAAAUAAAAAAAGUGUAGUGUAGUGUUAGUGUAGUGUUAGUGUAGUGUAGUGUUAGUGUAGUGUUAGUGUAGUGUAGUGUUAGUGUUGUGUUAGUGUAGUGUUAGUGUAGUGUAGUGUUAGUGUAGUGUUAGUGUAGUGUAGUGUUAGUGUAGUGUUAUAGUGUAGUGUAGUGUUAGUGUAGUGUAGUGUUAUAGUGUAGUGUAGUGUUAGUGUAGUGUUAGUGUAGUGUUAGUGUAGUGUUAUAGUGUAGUGUAGUGUUAGUGUAGUGUAGUGUUAGUGUAGUGUAGUGUUAGUGUAGUGUUAGUGUAGUGUUAGUGUAGUGUUAUAGUGUAGUGUAGUGUUAGUGUAUUGUUAGUGUAGUGUAGUGUUAGUGUAGUGUUAGUGUAGUGUUAUAGUGUAGUGUUAGUGUAGUGUUAGUGUAGUGUAGUGUUAGUGUAGUGUUAGUGUAGUGUAGUGUUAGUGUAGUGUAGUGUAAGUGUAGUGUUAGUGUAGUGUUAGUGUUAGUGUAGUGUUAGUGUAGUGUUAGUGUAGUGUAGUGUAGUGUAGUGUUAGUGUAGUGUUAGUGUUAGUGUAGUGUAGUGUAGUGUUAGUGUAGUGUUAGUGUAGUGUAGUGUUAGUGUAGUUGUAGUGUAGUGUAGUAUUAGUGUAGUGUUAGUGUAGUAUUAGUGUAGUGUUAGUGUAGUGUAGUGUUAGUGUAGUAUUAGUGUAGUGUUAGUGUAGUGUAGUGUUAGUGUAGUGUAGUGUUAGUGUAGUGUUAGUGUAGUGUAGUGUUAGUGUAGUGUAGUGUUAGUGUAGUGUAGUGUUAGUGUAGUGUUAGUGUAGUGUUAAUGUAGUGCAGUGUUAGUGUAGUGUAGUAUUAGUGUAGUGUUAGUGUAGUGUAGUGUUAGUGUAGUGUUAGUGUAGUGUAGUGUUAGUGUAGUGUUAGUGUAGUGUUAGUGUAGUGUAGUGUUAGUGUAGUAUUAGUGUAGUGUAGUAUUAGUGUAGUGUUAGUGUAGUGUAGUGUAGUGUUAGUUUAGUGUUAGUGUAGUGUAGUGUUAGUGUAGUGUUAGUGUAGUGUUAGUGCAGUGUAGUGUAGUGUUAGUGUAGUGUUAGUGUAGUGUAGUGUUAGUGUAGUGUUAGUGUAGUGUAGUGUUAGUGUAGUGUAGUGUUAGUGUAGUGUUAUGUUAGUGUAGUGUUAGUGUAGUGUUAGUGUAGUGUUAGUGCAGUGUAGUGUAGUGUUAGUGUAGUGUUAGUGUAGUAUUAGUGUAGUGUUAGUGUAGUGUUAAUAUAGUGUAGUAUUAGUGUAGUGUUAGUGUAGUGUAUUGUGGUGUAGUACAGGUGUUAUUGUAGUGUAUUGUGGUGUAGUGUAGGUGUUAGUGUUGUGUAUUUUGGUGUCGGUGUUAGUGUGGUGUGUAGUGUAGUGUAUUGUGGUGUGUAGUGUAGGUGUAGUGUGGUGUGUAGUGUAAGUGUAGUGUUUAGGUGUAGUGUAGGUGUAGUGUGUAGUGUAUGUGUGGUGUAGGUGUAGUGUAGGUGUAGCGUAGGUGUAGUGUAUGUGUGGUGUAGGUGUAGUGUAGGUGUUGUGUAGAUGUAGUGUAAGUGUAGUGUUUAGGUGUAGUGUAGGUGUAGUGUGUGGUGUAGGUGUAGUGUAGGUGUAGCGUAGGUGUAGUGUGUACAGUGUGUGAAGCCUCAUCCUCUCCUCUUGGCUGUCCUCUGUCUCCUGUCUAUCCAGGGAAGAUAGGACAUAGUGUAUAAUGUAUAAUGUAUAAUGUAUAGUGUAUAGUGUAUUUUUUUAUUUUUUUAUUUCACCUUUAUUUAACCAGGUAGGCAAGUUGAGAACAAGUUCUCAUUUACAAUUGCGACCUGGCCAAGAUAAAGCAAAGCAGUUCGACAGAUACAACGACACAGAGUUACACAUGGAGUAAAACAAACAUACAGUCAAUAAUACAGUAGAAACAAGUCUAUAAACAAUGUGAGCAAAUGAGGUGAGAUAAGGGAGGUAAAGGCAAAAAAAGGCCAUGGUGGCAAAGUAAAUACAAUAUAGCAAGUAAAACACUGGAAUGGUAGUUUUGCAAUGGAAGAAUGUGCAAAGUAGAAAUACAAAUAAUGGGGUGCAAAGGAGCAAAAUAAAUAAAUCAAUUAAAUACAGUUGGGAAAGAGGUAGUUGUUUGGGCUAAAUUAUAGGUGGGCUAUGUACAGGUGCAGUAAUCUGUGAACUGCUCUGACAGUUGGUGCUUAAAGCUAAUGAGGGAGAUAAGUGUUUCCAGUUUCAGAGAUUUUUGUAGUUCGUUCCAGUCAUUGGCAGCAGAGAACUGGAAGGAGAGGCGGCCGAAGAAAUACUUGGUUUUGGGGGUGACUAGAGAGAUAUACCUGCUGGUGUGUGUGCUACAGGUGGGAGAUGCUAUGGUGACCAGCGAGCUGAGAUAAGGGGGGACUUUACCUAGCAGGGUCUUGUAGUGUAUAGUGUAUAGUGUAG